rnacentral:rRNA from 1 species
GAUGAACGCUGGCGGCGUGCCUAAUACAUGCAAGUCGAGCGAACGGACGAGAAGCUUGCUUCUCUGAUGUUAGCGGCGGACGGGUGAGUAACACGUGGAUAACCUACCUAUAAGACUGGGAUAACUUCGGGAAACCGGAGCUAAUACCGGAUAAUAUUUUGAACCGCAUGGUUCAAAAGUGAAAGACGGUCUUGCUGUCACUUAUAGAUGGAUCCGCGCUGCACUAGCUAGUUGGUAAGGUAACGGCUUACCAAGGCAACGAUGCAUAGCCGACCUGAGAGGGUGAUCGGCCACACUGGAACUGAGACACGGUCCAGACUCCUACGGGAGGCAGCAGUAGGGAAUCUUCCGCAAUGGGCGAAAGCCUGACGGAGCAACGCCGCGUGAGUGAUGAAGGUCUUCGGAUCGUAAAACUCUGUUAUUAGGGAAGAACAUAUGUGUAAGUAACUGUGCACAUCUUGACGGUACCUAAUCAGAAAGCCACGGCUAACUACGUGCCAGCAGCCGCGGUAAUACGUAGGUGGCAAGCGUUAUCCGGAAUUAUUGGGCGUAAAGCGCGCGUAGGCGGUUUUUUAAGUCUGAUGUGAAAGCCCACGGCUCAACUGUGGAGGGUCAUUGGAAACUGGAAAACUUGAGUGCAGAAGAGGAAAGUGGAAUUCCAUGUGUAGCGGUGAAAUGCGCAGAGAUAUGGAGGAACACCAGUGGCGAAGGCGACUUUCUGGUCUGUAACUGACGCUGAUGUGCGAAAGCGUGGGGAUCAAACAGGAUUAGAUACCCUGGUAGUCCACGCCGUAAACGAUGAGUGCUAAGUGUUAGGGGGUUUCCGCCCCUUAGUGCUGCAGCUAACGCAUUAAGCACUCCGCCUGGGGAGUACGACCGCAAGGUUGAAACUCAAAGGAAUUGACGGGGACCCGCACAAGCGGUGGAGCAUGUGGUUUAAUUCGAAGCAACGCGAAGAACCUUACCAAAUCUUGACAUCCUUUGACAACUCUAGAGAUAGAGCCUUCCCCUUCGGGGGACAAAGUGACAGGUGGUGCAUGGUUGUCGUCAGCUCGUGUCGUGAGAUGUUGGGUUAAGUCCCGCAACGAGCGCAACCCUUAAGCUUAGUUGCCAUCAUUAAGUUGGGCACUCUAAGUUGACUGCCGGUGACAAACCGGAGGAAGGUGGGGAUGACGUCAAAUCAUCAUGCCCCUUAUGAUUUGGGCUACACACGUGCUACAAUGGACAAUACAAAGGGCAGCGAAACCGCGAGGUCAAGCAAAUCCCAUAAAGUUGUUCUCAGUUCGGAUUGUAGUCUGCAACUCGACUACAUGAAGCUGGAAUCGCUAGUAAUCGUAGAUCAGCAUGCUACGGUGAAUACGUUCCCGGGUCU